rnacentral:lncRNA from 1 species
CUCUUAAAGCUGGGGUCACACAUUCACGAUUUUUACUGCCGUCCUUGACAGGACCAUUCCCGAUUAAAAUUUGUCAAAAAGUCUGAUCAAGAUCCUGUGAAUCGUGGAUGGAAAUUCGAUUUGUAUAUUUCGCCAGGUAAAAUUCGACCGAGUCUGUCACGACUGCGUCCCGAUUUUACCGAAUGUAAUCCGACAGAGAUCAGAUAGUGACAAGACAGUGAACCGACGCUGACGGAAGUUAUCCGUUCGAAAACUGUCGGCAUAAUCGGGAUGAUCAGGUACUGUCGGAACGUAAUCCUAUCACGGUCCGCUCUAUCGUAUUGCAAACGGCUUUGUCUGGUCUCAGUCGUAUUGUAUUCUGUUAUUGUCGGGACUUCUCCAGAUCAUUCCCGUUCCACAGGACACCGUGCUGAAUACACAGAACAUUGUUAGGAAUUCGAUCCGAUACAGCAGAAUCUGUCACGACAUAGGCACGAUUGUAAUCCGACUAGACAAAAUCGGCUGAGUUUCCCCGAAUGUUACGGGACGCACCUAACUGUCGGGGUGCUUUGCCGAACUAUUCUGACCCUUCUCGACCAUUAGGAAUCUGUUACGAAGUAAAACGACUGCGUUCAGACAAUGAUAGGACAUUCCAGAUAAUUGAGGAUACUAAUCCGACUUUUUCACUUUUCGUGUCGUAUCGCUGUCUGAUCUCAAACGGGAGCAAUAAUCGGCAAUGUGUGAACCCCGCAUUAUUCGGAAUUAUUAUAACGUGAAACCAUACUGCAUUCUUAUAUGGAAUAUACGUUAUUAUUUCUUAUGUAGCAAAAAUACUGCAAUCUGAUUGGUUGACUACCCCGGUGUAAAUAUUACCUACCCUUGUUCACCC